ACAGCAGUCGCCGCGGUAAUACGAAGGGGGCUAGCGUUGUUCGGAAUUACUGGGCGUAAAGCGCACGUAGGCGGAUAUUUAAGUCAGGGGUGAAAUCCCGCAGCUCAACUGCGGAACUGCCUUUGAUACUGGGUAUCUUGAGUAUGGAAGAGGUUAGUGGAAUUGCGAGUGUAGAGGUGAAAUUCGUAGAUAUUCGCAGGAACACCAGUGGCGAAGGCGGCUAACUGGUCCAUAACUGACGCUGAGGUGCGAAAGCGUGGGGAGCAAACAGGAUUAGAUACCCCCGUAGUCCCUGUCUCUUAUAC
rnacentral:rRNA from 1 species